AUUGAACGCUGGCGGCAUGCCUUACACAUGCAAGUCGAACGGCAGCACGGGAGCAAUCCUGGUGGCGAGUGGCGAACGGGUGAGUAAUAUAUCGGAACGUGCCCGGUCGUGGGGGAUAACGUAGCGAAAGCUACGCUAAUACCGCAUACGAUCUACGGAUGAAANCGGGGGAUCGCAAGACCUCGCGCGAUUGGAGCGGCCGAUAUCAGAUUAGGUAGUUGGUGAGGUUAAAAGGGCUUCACCCAAGCCGACGAUCUGUAGCUGGUCUGAGAGGACGACCAGCCGACACUGGGACUGAGACACGGCCCAGACUCCUACGGGAGGCAGCAGUGGGGAAUUUUGGACAAU
rnacentral:rRNA from 1 species